GCCUUCGUAAUGUAAUGGUCAGCACGCUUGACGCGUAUUCGAGAGGUCCAGGGUUCGAGUCCCUGCGAGUGCA
rnacentral:tRNA from 1 species